rnacentral:rRNA from 1 species
UUUAGUUCAAAACCCCGAAACUAAGUGAGCUACCCCGAGACAGCCUAUCAAUUAGGGCCAACCCAUCUCUGUGGCAAAAGAGUGGGAAGAGCUCCGGGUAGAGGUGACAAACCUACCGAACUUAGUUAUAGCUGGUUACCUAAGAAAUGAAUAAAAGUUCAGCCUCGCACUCCUUGCCUCACAAACAUCUAAAACCACACGAGCCAAAGAAAUAUGCGAGAGUUAGUCAAAGGGGGUACAGCCCCUUUGAAACAGGACACAACCUCAUGCAGGAGGUUAAAGAUUACACUAAACAAGAUACACCGCUUUAGUGGGCCUAAAAGCAGCCACCUAGACAGAUAGCGUUAAAGCUCCAGCGGACUAAAAAUCUAUUAUCCAAAUAAUUUAUCUAAAACCCCUAAUAAUAUUAGGUCGCCCCAUGCCUACAUGGAAGAGAUACUGCUAAAAUGAGUAAUAAGAAGGAACCCCCUUCUCCUAGCCUACGUGUAUAUUAGAUCGGACCCCCCACUAAUAAUUAUCGAGCCCAACCAAAGAGGGUAAUGUGAUCGCACUAAAAAACAAGAAAACAUCACACCACCAAAUCGUUACUCCCACACCGGAAGGCCCACAAGGAAAGACUAAAAGAAAAGGAAGGAACUCGGCAAACCCAAGCCUCGCCUGUUUACCAAAAACAUCGCCUCCUGCAAAAAUCAAUGUAUAGGAGGUCCUACCUGCCCAGUGACAAGUUAAACGGCCGCGGUAUUUUGACCGUGCGAAGGUAGCGCAAUCACUUGUCUUUUAAAUGAAGACCUGUAUGAAUGGUGGAACGAGGGCUUAACUGUCUCCCCUUUCCAGUCAAUGAAAUUGAUCUGCCCGUGCAGAAGCGGACAUAUUAGUACAAGACGAGAAGACCCUUUGGAGCUUAAGAUAAAAGAUCAACUAUGUCAAGAAACUAAAAACAUAGCUUAAACUAAAUAGCAACUGAUCCUUAUCUUCAGUUGGGGCGACUGCGGAAGAAAACAAAGCUUCCACGAGGAUUGGGAUAAAUAACCUAAAGCCGAGAAAGACACUUCUAAGCCACAGAACAUCUGACCAUAUAAGAUCCGGCCACCCGCCGAUCAACGGACCAAGUUACCCUAGGGAUAACAGCGCAAUCCCCUUUCAGAGUUCAUAUCGACAAGGGGGUUUACGACCUCGAUGUUGGAUCAGGACAUCCUAAUGGUGCAGCCGCU